GGCCACGUGGCCGAGUGGUUAGGCAGAGGCCUGCAAAGCCUUGUACACCGGUUCGAAUCCGGUCGUGGCCU
rnacentral:tRNA from 4 species